rnacentral:rRNA from 1 species
AUCCUACACAUGCAAGUCGUACGAUGAAACCAGCUUGCUGGGUGGAUUAGUGGCGAACGGGUGAGUAACACGUGAGCAACGUGCCCAUAACUCUGGGAUAACCUCCGGAAACGGUGGCUAAUACUGGAUAUCUAACGCGAUCGCAUGGUCUGUGUUUGGAAAGAUUUUUUGGUUAUGGAUCGGCUCACGGCCUAUCAGCUUGUUGGUGAGGUAAUGGCUCACCAAGGCGACGACGGGUAGCCGGCCUGAGAGGGUGACCGGCCACACUGGGACUGAGACACGGCCCAGACUCCUACGGGA